AUGGGCCUCAGUACUGUGUUUGAGAUAUGGACUCGUCCUCGUCAGCGCUAUCAGCCCUCUGGUGAUGCUCUCUACUUGUCUGUGGUACGUCAGGAGCAUGCUCUUCAGCAGGGAGACUCCACUAUUGAUGAGUUCUACACUCAAAGUUCUGCUAUCUGGCGCCAGCUUGACAACCUUCGCACUGCUGUUUGUGGCACUUGCGCGUGUUGCCAGACUGUGAGGUCCGACUUGGAGUUUCAGCGUGUCUAUGUGUUUCUGUCGCGGCUCCGUGGAGAGUUUGAGCCUCGACGUGCUCAGUUGUUUGCUCAUGGUCGUGUUCCUAUUUCUGAGGUACUUGCUGAGCUUAGUGCUGAGAAGACUCGCCUCCGUGGUGCUGGGUUGCUUCAGGUUCCCUCUGUGCUUGCUGCUCGAACUGCUUCUCCACCAGUGAUUUCUUGCUCCAAUGCCCCAUCGCUACUGCCCACUCCUAGUAGUGAGGGUCGCUCUCAUGAGGGUCUCUCUCGUCCUCGUACUCAUUGCGGCUACUGCAACAGGGAUGGUCACCCCGAGUCUGAUUGCCUCAAGAAGAAGCGUGAUAUGCGUAACAGGGAGCGCAAUUCUUCUUCUGGGACUCGUGCUGCUUCAUCGACGUCAUCUACUGUCUCCUUGACUGAGCAGGAUAUUGUGAAGCUUAAGCGUCUACUUGUCGCUUCAGGUUCUUCGACGGGUACUGCAGGCUCUGUGACUGGUGCUUUCAGUGCUGAGCGGCCACCAUCUACACAGUCAGGAUCGUCACACAAAGGCUCUGAUUGGAGCUGGCCCUCGCCGUCGUGA
rnacentral:rRNA from 1 species